CCAGUUUUGCUCCAAGGACCAAUCACUGGUGCGCGAGAUGAGUAUUCUAAGGCGCUUGAGAGAACUCAGGAGAAGGAACUCGGCAAAUUGACACCGUAACUUCGGAAGAAGGUGUGCCCUAUUAGUGUGUAGUGAACAACGAAGCAUGAAUGGGUUGCAAAAAAUCGGUGGCUGCGAUUGUUUAUUAAAAACACAGCACUCUGCAAACACGAAAGUGGACGUAUAGGGUGUGACGCCUGCCCGGUGCUGGAAGAUUAAAUGAUGGGGUGCAAGCUCUUGAUUGAAGUCCCAGUAAACGGCGGCCGUAACUAUAACGGUCCUAAGGUAGCGAAAUUCCUUGUCGGGUAAGUUCCGACCUGCACGAAUGGCGUAACGAUGGCCACACUGUCUCCUCCUGAGACCCAGCGAAGUUGAAAUGUUUGUGAUGAUGCAAUCUCCCCGCGGAAAGACGGAAAGACCCCAUGAACCUUUACUGUAGCUUUGUAUUGGACUUUGAACAGAUCUGUGUAGGAUAGGUGGGAGGCUUUGAAGCAGGGUCGCUAGAUCUUGUGGAGCCAACGUUGAAAUACCACCCUGGUGUGUUUGAGGUUCUAACCUAGGUCCAUUAUCUGGAUCGGGGACAGUGCAUGGUAGGCAGUUUGACUGGGGCGGUCUCCUCCCAAAGCGUAACGGAGGAGUUCGAAGGUACGCUAGUUACGGUCGGACAUCGUGACGAUAGUGCAAUGGCAUAAGCGUGCUUAACUGCGAGACUGACAAGUCGAGCAGAUGCGAAAGCAGGACAUAGUGAUCCGGUGGUUCUGUAUGGAAGGGCCAUCGCUCAACGGAUAAAGGGUACUCUGGGGAUAACAGGUUGAUACCGCCCAAGAGUUCAUAUCGACGGCGGUGUUUGGCACCUCGAUGUCGGCUCAUCUCAUCCUGGGGCUGUAGCCGGUCCCAAGGGUAUGGCUGUUCGCCAUUUAAAGAGGUACGUGAGCUGGGUUUAAAACGUCGUGAGACAGUUUGGUCCCUAUCUUCCGUGGGCGCUGCAGAUUUGAGGAAGCCUGCUCCUAGUACGAGAGGACCGGAGUGGACACACCUCUGGUGUAUCGGUUGUCACGCCAGUGGCAUUGCCGAGUAGCUAAGUGUGGAAGAGAUAACCGCUGAAAGCAUCUAAGCGGGAAACUCGUUUCAAGAUGAGAUCUGCCGGGGCCUUGAGCCCCCUAAAGAGUCGUUCAAGACCAG
rnacentral:rRNA from 1 species